rnacentral:lncRNA from 10 species
AGGUCAGCCACCUGCAGCCAAGGAGAGAGGCCUCUGAGGAAACCAACCCUGCCAGCACUUUGAUCUUGAACUUCCAGCCUCCAGAACUGUGAGAAAGUAUAUUCCUGUUGUUUAAGCCACCCAGUCUAUGGCAUUUUGUUUUGGCAGCUUUAGCAGACUAAUAUACUUCCCCAUUCCCCCACAGUGCUUCCUGGGGUCAAUUCUCAGAUAAAUGAUUUGCACUUUAAUCCUUAUCUCAGGGGCCAGGUGGGAGGGGGCUCACGCCUGUAAUCCCAGCACUUUGGGAAGCCGAGGUGGGCAGAUCACCUGAGGUCAGGAGUUCAAGAGCAGCCUGACCAACAUAGUGAAACAUCGUCUCCACUAACUUUACAAAAUGUAGCUGGGUGGGGCGGCACAUUGCUGUAGUCCCAGCUACUCAGGAGGCUGAGGCAGGAGAAUCCCUUGAACCCGGGAGGUGGAGGUUGCAGUGAACUGAGAUCGUGCCACUGCACUACAGCCUGGGUGACAGAGUGACUUCGUCUAAAAAAAAAAAAAUUAUCUCAGGAAACCAACUCGCAGACCAACAACGCAUAUAUGGUGGGACAUAGACCCCAAGUAAGAGUGAAGCGAAGACUCAACUUUAACCACCACCCUCUAAGUUUCUUUUGAGGAGCUUGGAGAACGUCACUCCCUGUGGGUCUAAGUGGUACAGGCGCUAAAAAAUUAUUUAGGCAGAUAGUGAGGGUAAGGAAGUCCUCGGCUGUUUCCCUUUUAACAAAAAGCAGUCCCUAAAUCAUUUAUUUUCUAACAAAGAGCAGCCUGUAAAAUCGAGCUGCAGACAUAGAUAAGCAAGCUGGAAGCUUGCAUGGGUGAAUGCAGCAGCUGUGCCAAUAGGAAAAGGCUACGUGGCGGCCAGGCAUGUUCAACAUGGCGGCUCCAUCUUCCCUUUUCUUUGUCAACUAGGUGUACAGUAAGGAACCGACAACAUCACACCGGCCAGGUAGAGAAGCCAUUUGCAUAAUAGAAGAUUAGGGUGGGGUGGCCAGCUUCUUUGCGCGCUUUGUAAACAUCACACCUAGUCCACCAAUCUUUGGGCCCUAUGUAAAUUAGACAACACCUCCUCAAGCCAGUCUAUAAACCCUCCCCUCCCCGCACAUGCAUUUCACCGCAAAACCCAAAGACCCACUUAGGUGUCCCCUCUCUCCGCAGAAGAGAGAGCUUUUCCCUUUCUCUCUGUUAAACCUCUUCUCUUAAACUCACUUCUUGCGUGUCCUCGUCCUCGAUUUCCUUGGCGUAAGACGACGAACCUCAGGCAUUUACCCCAGACAACGAAGGUGCUUCAUAAGGUCAUGCAGCUGGGUCAACAUAGGACUGUGUAGCCAAGAGCUACAGGAUGGAUUGCUGAGGCCAGGGAGAUUGAAAGGAAGUCACAGCCCAAUCUCAGAGGGAUCCACGGAGCCAGCGAAAGCUAAGGCGGGACUUACCCAACAGAGGGUCCUGGCCCAGUCACCCAGUGGCACAACCCAACUGGGAGAUCUGAGCAUCUACCAACUGUGGCCACCAGUGAGAUGGUGUCAUUGUCUGGGAGGCCAGCAGAAGUCUCAGUGAUCGGGCAGGACAAAGGACAUUUCUGCAGAGAAUACUGAAGGUCCAGGAGACAGCACAGUGGGACAUAUGUGGGCCCCUGCCCCAUCAUUAGGAGGAAGUGUAGGCUUUUCUGAGGACCUGGAUGCCAUACCAUCUUGAGACAGAGAAUGAGGAACCAACCCUUGACAAGAGAGAGAUGGCCCUGGUAGAGAAUUUGAACCUUGAAUUGGAUUGAAUAUUUAUCCAAAAGAAAUUGAACCAGCACUAGAGAGACUGUUUUGAACUAGAAGUAACCAAGUUACCUUAACUGGAAGUUAGGAUUUUUCCACCCCUGACAUCAGUGGGACAAGGGCACAUGAGCAAGAUAUUUACGGACAAAGAAGAACGUUCAUGUUUUGUACACCUGCUUUGUAGUAUGUUGCAGAUACCGUUGGUUCCCCUGAUUUCAGGUGUUCUCGUUCUUUCUGUACAGUCACUUGCUCAGGGCAAAUGGUCCUCUCCUGCAUGACUCAGAAGCACAUACUGAUUAUUCUAAACUGGUCUUCAUGCCCCGUUCCCUUGUCAGUGAUGUAGUUAGGCAAAGGAUUAUGUAACAAUUCUGGCUAUGAGACAUUGAAACUUCUACUGUGGGGCAUCUGGGAAGAUUUUUCUCAUUGAAAAGAAGAGACGCAGGGUGUGGAGACUCAUGCCUGUAAUCCGAGCCCUUGGGAGGCCCAGGAGGGAGGGUCACCUGAGUCCAAGAGCUCAAGGCCAGUUCGAGCAACAUACCAAGGCUGCAAUAAACAAGCAAACAAACAAACAAACAUUAGCUGGGCACGGUAGUGCACACCUGUAGUCCCAGCUACUCAGGAGGCUGAAAUGGGAGGAUUGCUUGAGCCCAGGAGUUUGAGGCUGCAGUGAGCUAUGAUUGCACCACUGCACUUCAGCCUGGGCAACAGAGCGAGAUCCUGUCUCUAUAAAAAAAUUUUAAAAAAAGGAAGAAAAGAAAAGAAGAGACACACGUGGAAGAAACAGUCUCUAUUCUGAUGCAAGUAAUGACUGGAACUGUGGCAGACAGCUUGGAACCAUGAGAGGAGUUAACUGAGGGCUAUCAGGGAAACUAGAAGAAGCCUGGGUCCUUGAGGAGGCAGACUACUAAAUGGACCAUCGUCCCUUCACCCUUUUUGUUAUGUGAGAUAAUAAACUCUCUAAUUUAAAUCUACUUGAGAUGAAUAUCUGAUACUUGUAGCCAAAAUCAUCCUUAAUGGGACAGAGUGUGGGUAAAUUAUCAACCUUGCUAGCCUUGCCUCAUAAUUUUUGAAUUUAUUUUUAUCUUUUAAUUUUGUUUAUUUUUUAUUUUUAAAGUAGAGACAGGAUCUCAUUAUGUUGCUCAGGCUGGUCUCGAAUCCCUGGCCUCAAGGGAUCCUCCUGCCUCAGCCUCCUAAAGUGCUGAGAUUACAGGUAUGAGCCCCUAUGCCAGGCCAUUGCUUUGCCAUUGUAUCCAUGUGAUUGCAAAAAAGAAAAUCGUGCUAAUAGUCAUUAGCUUUGAAAGACACUUGGAAUUUCUUCCUUCAAGCGAGCUUUAUUCCCAAACUGUUGAACCCUCUGGGUUUGACAGCAGGAUCUACUUCACAUGGUAGCAUCUCCUUCUAUUUGCCUUCAAGACAUUUCCUAAGGGAAGAGAUGAAGACACACUUGUAACGUGAACAAAAUAAUCCUUUUUCCUUUUAAAAAUGUAUGAUUAAAAUGUAAAAUAUAUAUAUAUAUUCUUAAAUGUAAAAUAUAUAUAUAUAUCUUCUAGAGUUGCCUGGAAAGUGAGCUGAGAGCAGUUAAACAUCAAACCCACUGCUGCUUUCCAGCUUUAACCAGAAUCACCAUUGUCUUUCCCUAUGAAAGAAAGGAAAUCUUAGAACUUAAAAGGAUUUCAAGAAGAACUGAAUUUUAACCACUGAGAUGACCAGAGAUGUAAGGCUCACACUGACUGAAGCAGUAUAAUUUGGCUGUCUUUUUAACAUUCAGAAUUCUCUCUGACUCUCCAAAAUUGCAUCUACUUUGAUGAGCUUAUUUUUUUCCUCAACCAAAUUACAUUUCUUGGAGUUCACCUGAUACAUCAUGCCUACUUACUUUUUUUUUUAGAUGGAGUCUUGCUCUGUCACCCAGGCUGGAGUGCAGUGGUGCAAUCUCGGCUCAUUGCAACCUCUGCCUCCCAGGUUCAAGUGAUUCUCCUGCCUCAGCCCCCCAAGUAGCUGGGAUUACAGGUGCGUGCCACCACGCCCAGCUAAUUUUUGUAUUUUUAGUAGAGACAGGGUUUCGCCAUGUUGGUCAGGCUGGUCUCGAACUCCUGACCUCAAGUGACCCACCUGCCUUGGCCUCCCAAAGCGCUGGGAUUACAGGGGUAAGCCACCAUGUCCAGCCCUGCCUACUUACUUUGAACAAAUUAUUUCAGGCUAAUUUACUAGCUGGAGAGAAAGAGGGAGGGAAGCAGGGAGGAAGCAAAGAUAGAGGGAGAGAAAGAGAGGGAGACAGAGAGGAAGAGGGAGAGGGAGAGGAGAGAGAGAGAAAGAAUGAAUUGUGUUCUCCCAAAAUUAGUAUGUUGAAGUCUUAAUAUCCCAGUACCUCAGACUAUGACUGUAUCUGUAGAUAGGGCUUUUGAAAAGGUGAUUAUGUUUAAAUGAGGCCAUUGGGGUGGGCCCUAAUCCAGUCCAACUGUUGUCAUUGUAAGAAGAAGAGAUUAGGACACAGAGAUACCAGGCAUGUGCGUGCCCAGACAGACAACUAUGUGAAGAGACAACAAUAGGUCAGCCAUCUGCAAGCUGAGGAGAGAGGCCUCAGAGGAAACCAACCCUGCCGGCACCUUGAUCUUGGAGUUCCAGCCUCCAGAACUGUGAGAAAAUGUAUUCCUGUUGUUGAAGCCAUUUCUGUUGUUCUGUGGCAUUUUGUUAUGGCAGCCCUAGCAAACUAAUAUGAUAAUUAACUCUUCCAAGUGCUGUUUCCAUUACAAAGUAUCCCAGAAUUUUAUAUUGGUGAAUCUGUGUUCCUCAGGCCAUGUCUUCCCUGUUGGAAAUGCUGUUAUUAUGUCCCAAGGUGACUUCAAGGAGUGGGUUAGAGGCUGAGACAGAGGGUGUGAGAUCGUCACUACUGUAACCUUGCUUUGUUCAGUAUGAACAUGCUCAGAUAUUCUCUGUUUUGUAUUGGGAGAUCGGGAAAGGAUUUAUUGAAAAAAUGUUUCCAUUAGCAAAUGAAGUUUGAAGGCAACUACCGUCUACAAGAGCAAACAAAUGCAUAAAAUUCAAAUAUUAUUUUGUCCCAACCUCAGUGUCAUGAGGGUCUCUUAUACAGAAUAGUAGAUGAGAAUAAAAUUUGAAUUGAUAAUACUGGAAUAGAGUAGUCAUUAUGCAAUGUAACAAACCUCAAAUAUUCAGUGGUUUAACACUAUAGAUGUUUAUUUACCACUCAUUCAAUGUAUGUGUUCCUUGUUAGCAGUAGUUUUCCUUGUAGUCAUUCAGGAAUCCAGGCAUAUUAGUUAUCUAUUUCUGUGUACCCCAUAAAAACCAUUUAUUAUUGCACACUUUCAGAGGGUCAGUAAUUUGGGAGUGGCUUAGCUGGGGUGUUCUGACCAGAGUCUCUCUUGAGGUUGUAGUCAAGAUGUUGGCUAGGGUUGCCAUCAUCUGAAAGCUUGACUGGGACUGUAUCCACUUUCAAGAUGGCGCACUUACUUGGCUGUUGGCAGGAAGCCUCAAUGACUUAUCAUGUGGUCUUCUCCACAGUGCUGCUUGAGCAUCCACACAACAUGGCGCUAGCUUCCCCCAGAGUGAGUAAUCCAGAAUGAAGAAGACAGAAACCACAAUAUCCUUUAUGAACUGGCCUUAUAAGUAAUAUUUUGUCAUUUCCAUAAAGUCCUAUUGGUUACACAAGACUGCCGUAUUCAAUAUAAGAGUGACAACACAUGGGGAUAAAUACUUGGAGGUGUAAAUCAUUGGGAACCAUCCUGGAAGUUGCCUACAAUACUAGGAUCUAUGGCUACAAUUCCCUGGGUCUUGGCUUCAAGACAGAGAAAAGGGAAAGAACAUGAAACAGCCCCAUGUGGUUUUUGUUUUUUUUUUAAUGGACAAGAGUAAGAAAUGGUGAACAUUUCUUCUACUCAUAUUCUACAGUUAGAAUUUGGUCACAUAAUGUAUCUAACUAUGAAGGUAGCUAGGUAAUAUCAUCUCUUGUUGGGAGGGUAGCUGGGAAUACCUCUAUACAAUGGAAGGAAGAGCAUGAACUUUUGGUGGAGAGAUAAUGCUCUCUGCCAUGAUAAAAUGAAAAAAAUAACAUAUGCAGAAUGGUCAACAUAACAGCAUGAAGCAAAUGCACAAUGAAUGAUAAUCAUAAUAUAGUGCUCUUUUGAUAAUCUAGUGCAUACCCAGAACCUGGGAGGUAUUUGGUUUUAAUACAUGUUUGUUGUAUGAAUACGUGAGUUAAGGUAAUGGAUGCAAAAAUGGUAUAAAUAGGAGGAAUUAUAAUUGAUAUUUCUUGAGUUAGCAUGUUUCAUUGGCUAUCUUUAUGGAGGUCCAGACCCUCCUCCGAAGGUGGAUAUUACUGUUCCGAUUUCAAUUGGUCAAAUAGAGACCAAGAGACUUUAGGCAACUUGUUUUAGAUUUGGCACUGAAUGGCGGGAAAGUGCAGAUUUUCUGAGUACUAUGUCUGGGCUCUUUGCUAUAAGCACUAUUGAUUUGAAUGGAUAAGAACAGAAAAGUCCUUUGCUCAGAGGAGAAUCAGGGCCACUGUAUCAGUCAGGGUCCAAUCAAGAGGCAGAAACUAUACCAGUUAUUUAAUUUCAUUUAUUUAUUUAUUAUUAUUUUUUAGAGAUGUGGUCUUGCUGUGUUGCUCAGGCUGUUCUCGAACUCCUGGGCUCAAGCAAUCCACCUGCCUUGACCUCCCAAACUGCUGGGAUUACAGGUGUGAGCCACUGUGCCUGGCCCCGUACCAGUUAUUUUAACAGAGAGAAUUUAGUAUGGCCCAGGCGCAGUGGUUCAAGCCUGUAAUCCCAGCACUUUGUGAGGCUGAGCAGGGAGGAUCACUUGGACCCAGGAGUUUGAGACCAGCCUGGGCAACAUAUUGAGAGUCCACUUAAGAAAAAGAAUUUAAUAUAAAGAACUUUUUUCUUUUCUUUUUUUUUUUUUUGAGAUAGAUGGAGUCUCACUCUGUUGCCCAGGCUGGAGUGCUGUGGCGUGAUCCCAGCUCACCGCAACAUACGCCUCCUGGAAUCAAGCACCUCUCCCGCCUCAGCCUCCGGAGCAGCUGGGAUUACAGGCACUCGCUAACACGCCUGGCUAAUUUUUGUAUUUUAGUAGAGGCAGGGUUUCACCAUGUUGACCAGGCUGGUCUCAAACUGCUGACCUCAAGUGAUCCCCUGUCCUCGGGCUCCCAAAGUGCUGGGAUUACAGGCAUGAGCCACCACGCCUGGCCGAGAAUUGUUAACUAGGAAUCAAGUUGAUAACCAGGCAACUAAAAAGGAAAAAAAAACAACAAAACAAAACCAACCCAACAACAAUAUUAAUGUAUCACAGAAGAAGCAACUGAAGGAAACAGCUAUACUCAGAGGUCUGGGGGAACAAUGAGAAAAGGUUGGCAUUAACACUUAGAAUCAGCCAAGUGCAGUGGCUCAUAUCUGUAAUCCCAGAGACUCAGGAGACCAAGGUGGGAGGAUUGCUUGAAGCCAGGAGUUUGAGACUAGACUGGGCAACAUAGUGAGACCCUGUCUCUACAAAACAUAAUAAAAUUGGCCAGGCAGAGUGGCAUUCACCUGUGGUCCCAGCUACUCGGGAGGUUGAGGUAGGAGGAUCACUAGAGCCCAGUUACAGUGAGUAUGACUCACUGUAACUACACUCCACUACACUCCAGCCUGGGAGACAGAGUGAGACCCUGUCUCAAACAAACAAACAAACAAACCAAAAAAUCACUAGAAUAAUAGGAGAAAAGUGCCCUGCAAACUGAAACUCAGAUCUCUAAGGAGGGACGGGGGUUGGAGUCUUUGAGGGGUGCAAUUAGACUGGUUCUGCCAGUGUUAGGAAAACUGCAAACUGGAUUGAGAUGCUGCUAUGGGAAGGAACUGCCAUUGCAGGAGAAAGGAAGCCUUGCUAGGAGAGUGUUCACAGGAACAGAAAGAGCAAGUUCCUUUUUCCUCCAGCCUUGCAGUUCCCCUCUAACACCCCCAUGGGUAGAACCUCACAGGAAGCAGCUGGAACAGCAGAAAUAUGCUUUUCCCAAUUCCAACUCUUGUAUCACAAAGCAGAAUACAGAAGGUUGGGUUUGGAGUUGAGAGAUAACAACUAAAUAAUAGCUGGCACAAGGCCCACCUGAUCAGAAAUUAAUCUCACCUCCUUGGGGAUAAGGGCUUUGGGUGGGAGGAAAGGAGGCUCUUGAACUCAUGGGCAUUGAGCACGUGACUAGUUGUCUUAGAGAAAAUGUGCCACCCUGCAGGGCCGCCUGAAAGCUUGUACAAGUGCCUGAGGAAAGCCGGAUUUGGCAGGCUGCAACCACGGUGGAUGACAGCUGAAGGAGAAUUACAGCAGCAGCAGUUAAGUAGAAGAUGUUCACACUUCCUCGCUCUGCAUCUUUCUUCCUGGAGCCCAACACCUCGGAGGAGAAUGGGAAACCCAGAAGAAGGAGUGGGAAAUCAGUUGCUCUGGGGGAAGCCAGCUGUCAUGUGACAAACAGCUCUCCACAGAGGAUUAUGGGGCAUGUAACUGAGGCCUCCAGCCAGCGGCCACGUCAGUGAGUUUGGAAAUAGGUCCUCUAGCCCAGUUGAGCCUUCAGAAGACGACAUGAGGAUUUGCUGCAGUUCUGCCCAACAUCUUGAUUUCAAGCUCAUGAGACAGCCUAAGCCCAAACCACCCAGCUAAGCCAUUCCUAGAUUCCUGACCCAAAGAAACUAUGUGAGAUUAUGUGUCUGGUAUUUUAAGCACUAAGUUCUGGGAUAAUUUGUUUUGAAGCAAUAGUUAAGAAAUACAAUGAGAUAACACUAAACGCAAUGAGAGAGCACUAAACACUAUACUUGGUGUAGAUAAGGUCAUGGAGCCACAGGAAUGCUCAUUUUGUGCUAGUGGAAAAGGAAAUUGGAAAAACCAUUUUGCAAUGUAUAACCAGGUGGCAAUAUCUACAGUUUUAAAGCUAUGCCUAUUAUAUGAUCUCACAGUUCCACUUCUAGGUAUAUAGUGCAUGAUCCUGUGCACAGGAGACAUGCACAUGAAUAUUCAUAGCAGGAAUGUUUGUAGUAGCCUCAAAUUGGAAACCAUCCACAUAUCCAUCAGUAAUGGAAUGGAUAAAUAAGUUUUGGUAGCAGUUGAGCCUUGAACAACACGAGUUUAAACUAUGUGGGUCCACUUAAUAUGCACAUUUUCUGGGUCCACUUAUAUGCAGAUUUUCUUCUACCUCUGCUACCCCUGAGAUGGUAAGACCAUCUUCCUUGAUCCACUUCCACAGUAAAUACAUUUUCUCUUUCUUAUGAUUUUCUUAAUAUCAUUUUCUUUUCCCUAAGCUUACUUGAUUGUAAGUGUACAGUAUGUGAUAAAAAUAACAUGCAAAAUAUGUGUUAAUCAACUGUUAAUGAUCAGUUAAUACUUCUGGUGAACAGUAGGCUGUAAGUAGUUAAGUUUUGGGGAAGUCAAAAGCAUAUGCAGAUAUUUGACUGUGUGGGGUGUUGGUAUCCCUAACCUCGUGCAUUGUUCAAGGGUCAAUUGUAUUUGUACAAUAAAAUGUUAUACAGCAAGGGUUGGAAGAUUUGUUCUGUUAAGGGCCAGAGAGUCAAUAUUUUAGGCUUUAAGGGCUGUACAGUCUCUGUCAUACCUAGUCAACUCUGCUGUUGUAGUAUGUAAGCAGCCACAGAGAAUAGGGAAAUGAAUAAGCAUGGCUAUAUUUCAAUUAUACUUUAUUUACAAAACAGAUGGGGAACUGGAUUUGGCACAGGGGCCACAGUUUUCUGACCAUUACUCUAUAAUAUUGAGAGUAAAAGGGGCCAGGUGCAGUGGCUCACAUCUGUGAUCCCAGCACUUUGGGAGGCUGAGGCAGGAGGAUUGCUUGAGGCCAGUAGAUCAAGACCAGUCUGGGCAACAUGGCGAGACCCCAUGAUAUGGUUUGGAUGUGUGUCCCUCCUCAAAUCUCAUGUCAAAUUGUAAUUCCCAGUGUUGGAGGAGAGGCCUGGUGGGAGGUGAUUGGAUCAUGGGGACAGGCUUUCCCCUUGCUGUUCUUGUGAUAGUGAGUUCUCAUGAGAUCUGGUUGUUUAAAAGUGUGUGGCACCUCCCCCUUCUCUCUCUUCUUCCUGCUCUGGCCACAUAAGACAAGCCUACUUCCACUUCACCUUCUGUCAUGAUUGUAAGUUUCCUGAGGCUUCCCCCACCAUGCUUCCUGUAGAGCCUACAGAACCAUGAGCCAAUAAACCUCUUUUCUUUAUAAAUUACCCAGUCUCAGGUAUUUCUUCAUAGCAGUGUGAGAAUGGACUAAUAUACCCCAUCUCUACAAAAAAAUUUAAAAAAUUAGCCAGGUGUGGUGGUGUGUGCUUGUGGUCCCAGCUACUUGGGAGGCUGAGAUGGGAGGAUCUUUUUAGCCCAGGAUGUGGAGGCUGCAGUGAGCCAUGCUCAGGAUUUUAGUCUGUUCUCACGCUGCUAAUAAAGACAUACCUGAGACUGGGUAAUUUAUAAAGGAAAGAGGUUUGAUGGACUCACAGUUCCACGUGGCUGAGGAGGCCUCACAAUUAUGGUAGAAGGUGAAGGAGGAGCAAAAUCAUGUCUUACAGGGCGGCAGGCAAGAGAGCAUGUGCCAGGAAACUGCCCUUUAUAAAACCAUCAGAUCUCACGAGACUUAUGCACUAUCAUGAGAACAGCACGAGAAAGAUCUGCCUCCAUGAUUCAAUUACCUCCCACAGCGUCCCUCCCAUGACACACGGGAAUUAUGAGAGUUACAAUUCAAGAUGAGAUUUGGGUGGGGACACAGCCAAACCAUAUCACUCAGGUUGGGUGACAGAGCAAGGCCCUGUCUCAAAAAAAUAAACAAGUAAAAUAAUAAAAAAAGAGAGAAUGAAAGAGCCCAGGUACAAACAAGAACAUAGAUAAGUCUUUGAAAAGUAUUGAAUGAAAGAAAUCGGACAUAAAAUAUGUACUCCUAUUUAUAAAAAGUUCAAAAGCAUGAAAAAUGAGACGAUAUUGUUGAGGGAGCAUCUUGAGGAGGUGAAACUAGAAGGCAAAACAAGGAAUUGAGUCUUUAAAAUGCCAGGAUUGUUGUUACUUUGGAGGGUAGAUAGGGGUGUGUAAUUGAGAAGGGGUACCUAAGGGACUCAUGGGGUGCUGGCAAUAACCUUAUUUAUUAAUCUGUUGGGGGUUUCACAGGUGUUUAUACAAUCUGGUAAGUUGUAUAUUUGUGUUUUGUGUUCUUUUCUGUAUUUGCAUUCUAUUUCUCAAUAAAUUGUUGAAGAAAAAUGAAUAUUAAGA